rnacentral:rRNA from 1 species
GAUGAACGCUAGCGAUAGGCUUAACACAUGCAAGUCGAGGGGCAGCACAAGGUAGCUUGCUAUCUGGGUGGCGACCGGCGCACGGGUGCGUAACGCGUAUGCAACUUGCCCUAUACAGGAGGAUAACCCGUCGAAAGACGGACUAAUACUGCGUAUGCUCACAACUUGGCAUCAAGUGGUGAGGAAAGAAAUUCGGUAUAGGAUAGGCAUGCGUCCCAUUAGCUUGUUGGUGAGGUAACGGCUCACCAAGGCAACGAUGGGUAGGGGAACUGAGAGGUUUAUCCCCCACACUGGUACUGAGACACGGACCAGACUCCUACGGGAGGCAGCAGUGAGGAAUAUUGGUCAAUGGGCGCGAGCCUGAACCAGCCAAGUCGCGUGAAGGAUGACUGUCUUAUGGAUUGUAAACUUCUUUUAUACGGGAAUAACAAGCGUCACGUGUGACUCCCUGCAUGUACCGUAUGAAUAAGCAUCGGCUAACUCCGUG